UUCCACAUGGAAUGGAUCCCCAGCCCUA
rnacentral:piRNA from 1 species